rnacentral:rRNA from 1 species
UACAGAGGUCUCAAGCGUUGUUCGGAUUCAUUGGGCGUAAAGGGUGUGUAGGUGGCGCGCUAAGUCGGGUGUGAAAUUUCGGAGCUUAACUCCGAAACUGCAUUCGAUACUGGCGUGCUUGAGGACUGGAGAGGAGACUGGAAUUUACGGUGUAGCAGUGAAAUGCGUAGAUAUCGUAAGGAAGACCAGUGGCGAAGGCGGGGCUCUGGACAGUUCCUGACACUGAGACACGAAGGCCAGGGGAGCAAACGGG